rnacentral:rRNA from 1 species
GAUUGACGGGGGCCCGCACAAGCGGUGGAGCAUGUGGUUUAAUUCGAUGCAACGCGAAGAACUUUACCUGGUCUUGACAUCCACAGAACUUUCCAGAGAUGGAUUGGUGCCUUCGGGAACUGUGAGACAGGUGCUGCAUGGCUGUCGUCAGCUCGUGUUGUGAAAUGUUGGGUUAAGUCCCGCAACGAGCGCAACCCUUAUCCUUUGUUGCCAGCGGUCCGGCCGGGAACUCAAAGGAGACUGCCAGUGAUAAACUGGAGGAAGGUGGGGAUGACGUCAAGUCAUCAUGGCCCUUACGACCAGGGCUACACACGUGCUACAAUGGCGCAUACAAAGAGAAGCGACCUCGCGAGAGCAAGCGGACCUCAUAAAGUGCGUCGUAGUCCGGAUUGGAGUCUGCAACUCGACUCCAUGAAGUCGGAAUCGCUAGUAAUCGUGGAUCAGAAUGCCACGGUGAAUACGUUCCCGGGCCUUGUACACACCGCCCGUCAUACCAUGGGAGUGGGUUGCAAAAGAAGUAGGUAGCUUAACCUUCGGGAGGGCGCUUACCACUUUGUGAU